UACGGGGGGGCAAGCGUUGUUCGGAAUUACUGGGCGUAAAGGGCUCGUAGGUGGCCAACUAAGUCAGACGUGAAAUCCCUCGGCUUAACCGGGGAACUGCGUCUGAUACUGGAUGGCUUGAGUGUGGGAGAGGGAUGCGGAAUUCCAGGUGUAGCGGUGAAAUGCGUAGAUAUCUGGAGGAACACCGGUGGCGAAGGCGGCAUCCUGGACCAUUACUGACACUGAGGAGCGAAAGCCAGGGGAGCAAACGGG
rnacentral:rRNA from 1 species